GAUGAACGCUGGCGGCGUGCCUAAUACAUGCAAGUCGAACGCUGGAGCUCUAGCUUGCUAGAUCGAAGGAGUGGCGAACGGGUGAGUAAUACAUAAGCAACCUACCCACGAAGACUGGGAUAAUCUCUGGAAACGGGGACUAAUACCGGAUAGGUAAUCGGAAGGCAUCUUCUGGUUAUUAAAGGUUAAAAACACUGGUGGAUGGGCUUAUGGCGCAUUCGUUAGUUGGUGAGGUAACGGCCCACCAAGACGAUGAUGCGUAGCCGGCCUGAGAGGGUGAACGGCCAGAAUGGGACUGAGGCACAGCCCAGACUCCUACGGGAGGCAGCAGUAGGGAAUUUUCGGCAAUGGGGGCAACCCUGACCGAGCAACGCCGCGGGAGUGAAGACGGCCUUCGGGUUGUAAAGCUCUGUUGUAAGGGAAGAACGGUAGAUAGAGAAUAUCUAAGUGACGGUACCUUACCAGAAAGCCACGGCUAACUACGUG
rnacentral:rRNA from 1 species